GCAUAUCAAUAAGCGGAGGAAAAGAAACCAACAGGGAUUGCCCCAGUAACGGCGAAGUGAAGCGGCAACAGCUCAAAUUUGAAAUCUGGCCUUCGGGUCCGAAGUUGUAAUUUGGAGAGGAUGCUUUUGGCGCGGCGCCGUCCGAGUUCCUUGGAACAGGACGCCAUAGAGGGUGAGAGCCCCGUACGGGCGGCCGCCUAGCCUUUGUAAAGCUCCUUCGACGAGUCGAGUAGUUUGGGAAUGCUGCUCAAAAUGGGAGGUAAAUUUCUUCUAAAGCUAAAUACCGGCCAGAGACCGAUAGCGCACAAGUAGAGUGAUCGAAAGAUGAAAAGCACUUUGAAAAGAGGGUUAAAAAGUACGUGAAAUUGUUGAAAGGGAAGCGCCUGUGACCAGACUUGCGACCCGUGGAUCAUCCGGUGUUCUUCACCGGUGCACUCCGCGGGCUGCAGGCCAGCAUCGGUUUUCCUAGGGGGAUAAAGGUCGCAGGAACGUAGCUCUUUCGGGAGUGUUAUAGCCUGUGGCGUCAUGCCUCUGGGGAGACCGAGGACCGCGCUUCGGCAAGGAUGCUGGCGUAAUGGUCACCGGCGACCCGUCUUGAAACACGGACCAAGGAGUCAAGCAUUGGGGCGAGUGUCUGGGUGCCAAACCCGCACGCGAAAUGAAAGUAAACGCAGGUGAGAGCUUCGGCGCAUCACCGACCGAUCCUGAUGUCUUCGGAUGGAUUUGAGUAAGAGCCUUACCGCUUGGACCCGAAAGAUGGUGAACUAUGCCUGUAUAGGGUGAAGCCAGAGGAAACUCUGGUGGAGGCUCGCAGCGGUUCUGACGUGCAAAUCGAUCGUCAAAUAUGGGCAUGGGGGCGAAAGACUAAUCGAACCAUCUAGUAGCUGGUACCGC
rnacentral:rRNA from 1 species